CCUUUAUAUGUGUUGUUAUUUUUUACUUUUUUAUUUUAUGAUGGUUUUGUUUGAGCGUGUUGUCGCGCUUAUCCUUUCAUACUAGUAAUUUGCAGUAUUACUCUUGUAGUUUCCUUGUCCAUCUUAUGGUUUAUUAUUUGUUGUUUCUUGUACUUUAUUUGUCGUAUUAUUUUGUCAAUUCUUGUCUUUCUGUUGGUUAUUACUUGUUGUUUCAUGUACUUUGUUCGUGUAUUAUUUUGAGGUAGUUACUAUUCUUUUUUUUUCUUUUUUUUUUUCAGAUUGUUUUUAGCAUAUAGUAGUAUUUUUGCUUCUUCACGUCCGUUAUUUCUUUUCCUAGACUGGUUUGUUUAGCUUUUCUUGAGGCGAGGAUCUAUCGAAAACAUCUUUUUCUAUCUCCUAAGAUAUUAGGAAUCCAGCAGAGCAGAUAGAUUCAAGAUCAUCCCGUGAUAUCUUAUGAGUCCAACAAGCAUUUAUCUGUCCAUCAAAUCCACAAUUUGACUGCAUCCCGGAUGCUGAUAUGCCUUUUACGUAUUCCUGGCACAGCCCAAAAAUAAGAGG